GGGUUGUGAGGUUAAGCGACUAAGCGUACACGGUGGAUGCCCUGGCAGUCAGAGGCGAUGAAGGACGUGCUAAUCUGCGAAAAGCGUCGGUAAGGUGAUAUGAACCGUUAUAACCGGCGAUGUCCGAAUGGGGAAACCCAGUGUGAUUCGUCACACUAUCGUUAACUGAAUACAUAGGUUAACGAGGCGAACCGGGGGAACUGAAACAUCUAAGUACCCCGAGGAAAAGAAAUCAACCGAGAUUCCCCCAGUAGCGGCGAGCGAACGGGGAGCAGCCCAGAGUCUGAAUCAGCUUGUGUGUUAGUGGAACGGUCUGGAAAGUCCGACGGUACAGGGUGAUAGUCCCGUACACCAAAAUGCACAGGUUGUGAACUCGAAGAGUAGGGCGGGACACGUGGUAUCCUGUCUGAAUAUGGGGGGACCAUCCUCCAAGGCUAAAUACUCCUGACUGACCGAUAGUGAACCAGUACCGUGAGGGAAAGGCGAAAAGAACCCCGGCGAGGGGAGUGAAAAAGAACCUGAAACCGUGUACGUACAAGCAGUGGGAGCACCUUUAUGGUGUGACUGCGUACCUUUUGUAUAAUGGGUCAGCGACUUAUAUUCUGUAGCAAGGUUAACCGUAUAGGGGAGCCGCAGGGAAACCGAGUCUUAACUGGGCGUUAAGUUGCAGGGUAUAGACCCGAAACCCGGUGAUCUAGCCAUGGGCAGGUUGAAGGUUGGGUAACACUAACUGGAGGACCGAACCGACUAAUGUUGAAAAAUUAGCGGAUGACUUGUGGCUGGGGGUGAAAGGCCAAUCAAACCGGGAGAUAGCUGGUUCUCCCCGAAAGCUAUUUAGGUAGCGCCUCGUGAACUCAUCUUCGGGGGUAGAGCACUGUUUCGGCUAGGGGGUCAUCCCGACUUACCAACCCGAUGCAAACUACGAAUACCGAAGAAUGUUAUCACGGGAGACACACGGCGGGUGCUAACGUCCGUCGUGAAGAGGGAAACAACCCAGACCGCCAGCUAAGGUCCCAAAGUCAUGGUUAAGUGGGAAACGAUGUGGGAAGGCACAGACAGCCAGGAUGUUGGCUUAGAAGCAGCCAUCAUUUAAAGAAAGCGUAAUAGCUCACUGGUCGAGUCGGCCUGCGCGGAAGAUGUAACGGGGCUAAACCAUGCACCGAAGCUGCGGCAGCGACGCUUAUGCGUUGUUGGGUAGGGGAGCGUUCUGUAAGCCUGCGAAGGUGGCCUGUGAGGGUUGCUGGAGGUAUCAGAAGUGCGAAUGCUGACAUAAGUAACGAUAAAGCGGGUGAAAAGCCCGCUCGCCGGAAGACCAAGGGUUCCUGUCCAACGUUAAUCGGGGCAGGGUGAGUCGACCCCUAAGGCGAGGCCGAAAGGCGUAGUCGAUGGGAAACAGGUUAAUAUUCCUGUACUUGGUGUUACUGCGAAGGGGGGACGGAGAAGGCUAUGUUAGCCGGGCGACGGUUGUCCCGGUUUAAGCAUGUAGGCUGGUUAUCCAGGCAAAUCCGGAUAAUCAAGGCUGAGGUGUGAUGACGAGGCACUACGGUGCUGAAGUAACAAAUGCCCUGCUUCCAGGAAAAGCCUCUAAGCAUCAGGUAACACGAAAUCGUACCCCAAACCGACACAGGUGGUCAGGUAGAGAAUACCAAGGCGCUUGAGAGAACUCGGGUGAAGGAACUAGGCAAAAUGGUGCCGUAACUUCGGGAGAAGGCACGCUGGUGUGUAGGUGAAGCCCCUGCGGGUGGAGCUGAGACCAGUCGAAGAUACCAGCUGGCUGCAACUGUUUAUUAAAAACACAGCACUGUGCAAACACGAAAGUGGACGUAUACGGUGUGACGCCUGCCCGGUGCCGGAAGGUUAAUUGAUGGGGUUAUCCGUAAGGAGAAGCUCUUGAUCGAAGCCCCGGUAAACGGCGGCCGUAACUAUAACGGUCCUAAGGUAGCGAAAUUCCUUGUCGGGUAAGUUCCGACCUGCACGAAUGGCGUAAUGAUGGCCAGGCUGUCUCCACCCGAGACUCAGUGAAAUUGAACUCGCUGUGAAGAUGCAGUGUACCCGCGGCAAGACGGAAAGACCCCGUGAACCUUUACUAUAGCUUGACACUGAACAUUGAGCCUUGAUGUGUAGGAUAGGUGGGAGGCUUUGAAGCGUGGACGCCAGUCUGCGUGGAGCCAACCUUGAAAUACCACCCUUUAAUGUUUGAUGUUCUAACGUUGGCCCCUAAUCGGGGUUGCGGACAGUGUCUGGUGGGUAGUUUGACUGGGGCGGUCUCCUCCCAAAGCGUAACGGAGGAGCACGAAGGUUAGCUAAUCCUGGUCGGACAUCAGGAGGUUAGUGCAAUGGCAUAAGCUAGCUUGACUGCGAGCGUGACGGCGCGAGCAGGUGCGAAAGCAGGUCAUAGUGAUCCGGUGGUUCUGAAUGGAAGGGCCAUCGCUCAACGGAUAAAAGGUACUCCGGGGAUAACAGGCUGAUACCGCCCAAGAGUUCAUAUCGACGGCGGUGUUUGGCACCUCGAUGUCGGCUCAUCACAUCCUGGGGCUGAAGUAGGUCCCAAGGGUAUGGCUGUUCGCCAUUUAAAGUGGUACGCGAGCUGGGUUUAGAACGUCGUGAGACAGUUCGGUCCCUAUCUGCCGUGGGCGCUGGAGAAUUGAGGGGGGCUGCUCCUAGUACGAGAGGACCGGAGUGGACGCAUCACUGGUGUUCGGGUUGUCAUGCCAAUGGCACUGCCCGGUAGCUAAAUGCGGAAGAGAUAAGUGCUGAAAGCAUCUAAGCACGAAACUUGCCCCGAGAUGAGUUCUCCCUGAGGCUUUAAGUCUCCUGAAGGAACGUUGAAGACGACGACGUUGAUAGGCCGGGUGUGUAAGCGCAGCGAUGCGUUGAGCUAACCGGUACUAAUGAACCGUGAGGCUUAACCUUACAACGCCGAAG
rnacentral:rRNA from 1 species